UGGGGAAUAUUGCACAAUGGGCGCAAGCCUGAUGCAGCCAUGCCGCGUGUAUGAAGAAGGCCUUCGGGUUGUAAAGUACUUUCAGCGGGGAGGAAGGGAGUAAAGUUAAUACCUUUGCUCAUUGACGUUACCCGCAGAAGAAGCACCGGCUAACUCCGUGCCAGCAGCCGCGGUAAUACGGAGGGUGCAAGCGUUAAUCGGAAUUACUGGGCGUAAAGCGCACGCAGGCGGUUUGUUAAGUCAGAUGUGAAAUCCCCGGGCUCAACCUGGGAACUGCAUCUGAUACUGGCAAGCUUGAGUCUCGUAGAGGGGGGUGGAAUUCCAGGUGUAGCGGUGAAAUGCGUAGAGAUCUGGAGGAAUACCGGUGGCGAAGGCGGCCCCCUGGACAAAGACUGACGCUCAGGUGCGAAAGCGUGGGGAGCAAACAGG
rnacentral:rRNA from 1 species